AAUAUUUUAUAAUAAAAAAAACUUAGAAAUGUUAGCUCCCCUUACCUCUUCUCCAGACUUAGUUUACUCCUCAGAAGUUGUUCUCCCGAAAAUCCUUCAGAACCUCUACUAUUCUAAAAUUUUCUUCCCAACUCUUUUCUUCUCUAUUUUUUUUUUCAAGAUUUCUCACUUGAUUCUUCCUCUCUUUGUGCAAAAUAAGCUCCCCUCCCAUGG
rnacentral:lncRNA from 1 species